GCCAUUGAAGGCACAGAAGCAAGGUUUGGGGAUCCUAUGAGCCAACAUCCCCCUACCCCAAAUUUUAUUCAAACUCUGUUUUCCCUUCCUAUUUCUAUUUGCUUAAAAAAAUCAAUUUCCCCCUUCCCCCCAAAUUCCUCCAAAGAGCUCAGAACUGAGCACUGCUGCUUCUUCACGCAACCAUCCAUUUUCGCUUGCUUGGCGUUUCUUCAUCUUUUGGUGGCCUGAAGGACUGGGGGGGAAUAAAUGCCAGCAUAUCUGCCGCUAAAACCCUGUUACAUCCUGGAGACUUUUGUGGGCCCAGAAGGAACUGAUACAAGAUAAGAAAAGAUUAAUUCCUUCUGGAUUUCUGGAGGAAAGAGAGAAGGAGAGAGAAGAACAGCUGGGGGAAAAAAAGCAAGCUUGGCUGGCUGGAAUCAUACUGGCCAAAAAAUAAGUUAGCUUAAGCAAGAGGAGGAAAAGGAAAUGAAUGCACCAGGUCUGCUGACUGCCUCUCAAUCCAUUCCGGAAAGAGAACGCAGCAAACGGAGCUGGAAAAACUUUCCCUUUUUUCUUUUAAAGCUUGUUAGCUCCCACCAACCCUACCCACCCUGUCUGGAUCCUCAUCUGCAUUCAGCGCGCUCCUGCCCACUGCGGAUUGCCCAUCUUCAUCCUGAACUGCCUUGUGCCCAACUGGAAGCCAAGACCCAAGAAGAAAUGGCUGGGAAUAGGUGUAGAAAGCUCAGAAAAGAAGGAGCUCCUGUCCUUGCUGGGGCCAAAGCAGAAAAUGACGCACCUACAGAUCUCUCUGACUGUUCUCCAGUGAAGACAUACAGAGUCAGGAACCUUCCAAGGUUGUGAGCAGGCAAACUGUUCAAAAAGGCAUGGGAGAGAAGGAAUCUGACCCCACACCCCAAAACCCAGUGGAGAUUCAAUUUUGACUUACCUGACAUUCUGCAGGAACAGAAAAUGGAGAAAUUUGUUUUCCACCCCCAACUGUGUCGUGUGGACCAAAUCAAGAACACUCAGCUGGGCUUCCUAAUGCAAAAGGAAAACAUGCAAGAAAACAGGAUUUUUUGGAUUAAAAAAGAAUUCUAAAUCCUUGGUGCAGAUCUUGACUGGGAGACAAACAAUAUUAAUCUUUUAUACCUACGGAUAUAAGUUUGAAUUUUUCUCCCCACAAGCCAAGUAUUUAAAACCUCUAGAAUCCAUUGAUUUGACAAUCAAGGAUUGCGCGAUAGUUUCAAUUUGAAUAUUCAAAGGCUUCAGAAAAUGGACUCUCUUGGAGGAAAACCCUGCAUAUCCCCAUCUAGGAGAGGGUCUGGGGGAACAAGAUCCGCUGGCCUUGUCUUCCUAGGGCCCCCCUUUGGGGGACCUUUUCAGCUUUUUAGCUUCCUUGCCCCAAACAAGGCAGGCGCCCCCAAAGAGAGCCCACAUUUUUGCAGAUGACAAAUUCUGGGUCAUCCCUGGGGCUUCCAUUCCACCCGCCACCUGAUGACAUCUCUCUGCAACAGUUUGGGGAGAUCUGGGGAUUGGGGUACAUUUGGGGGGGCUGCCUGAUAUUUUUGUGGACAAGGAUGGCCUGCAAGGGGGGCGUGACAUGGUCAAGAAGAUAGCCAUUGAGGCCUGUAAGCAGUGGUGGUUGGUGAAUGGGGAACAUCAUUCCAUGAACCUUGGGAACUUCUGAUGUGUCCCCCCUUUCUGCCCCACUCCCCCCAUUCUUCUCCUUGAUGUAGGUGUGUUUUUAACUUCUCCUUUGCUAUAGCUGUUCCGAUUUGCAUUGUGGGAGCUCAGCGUCUUUGGAAAGCUGGAUUUCCCCCCACUUCUAUAUCCUUACAGUCAUGUGGAAGGUAGGCUGAGGUGUAUUGUAACUUCAGAGGAAAUUUCCAAAUUUUGAUUCUGGAUUCUUUCACACCUUUUCCUCCCAUGCCUCCCUAGAAGGAACUUGGGAGAGCUAGGUCAACGAAAAUGUAGGCUAAGUUGUUAAUGAUCUACUAUGAAUAUAAUUUGGCUAUUGUUCCAGUUCAUUUUUUGUUUUUUUGAAAUACUUCAACAAAUAUUCUUGAUUUGAGAUAAAGAGACGUGUAUUGCUGACUUGA